UAUCGCUACGGUUGAGGGAACAGCACGUAUAAGGCGACGUUUGGGUCGCGAAAAAAACUUUAAACAAACCAGAAAUAAACGAAGGGUCACCGGAAAAUCGUAAAUGGUAACUCAGGAUUGCCAAUGUUUACACAGGAGUGAGAGAGAGAUGAAGGCGAAGUCGAACAACGCUUCGGUAUCCUUCGUCCCUCGUUCCUUCGCGAACGACCACUUAGUCCUCAGUGCAAUGGAUAGUUCAGACGGUUUACAGUGGUAUUAACGCUGACGACGUUUCGGAUAGCGCAUUAGCUGAUGAACAAUGCCCUCUGCACAGCACUCGAAACGAGCAGAGGUCCUGAGACCCGGAAAACGAGACCAUAUGGCAGACGAGUCAGACACCCUCUGCGGAUUUCGUCGUAGCGUUACGGUAGUGUGUCUGGUAGGCGGGAUCCUCUGCUUUGGUAUCCUGUUUGUGGUGAGCAUCAUUCUCGUCGUGUCUGGCAUAGCCGCGCUGGGUAUAAGCAACUACGAGACCGACAAGUUCCUGGAUUCCUCGAAGAUCCUCUGGAAGCUGUUGGGACUGUCAUGGUCUUAACUGGACUGGUGAUGAUGGCAAUCCUGAGCGGCCUGUGGUAUACGGCAGAGAAAAGAGACAGAAUUAAGAAACACAAAACUAAACGCCUUCAAUCAGCGCCUCACAGUCCGCCGCGUUCCUAUUCCCAUCCCGCCUGACGGAGACCUCCACGGUGGGCGUGCAGACGCCCACAUACCUUCCAGACGGCAACGACCAACUGGAUCCUUUAGUAAGACAGAUGUCCUACCCGGCUGCGGCCCCUCCCGGAAGGCGGCUCUCCUACCCCGAUCCAUCAUCUGGAAGCGAAUUAUCCUACGCGUCAACGUCCUCCGCAGAGCAAAUGCCGUACCCGACUGCUCCUCCUUCCUCCUCAGGUCAUAUCCUAAGCGGCCUUCCGUCAGCUCGGCAGCUCUUCUUCUCCUCCUCCUCAGGGGAAGCCGCUUCUUUCAGUCAGCAGCAGUAUUAUCCCUCCGAACAGGCCUACCGGUCCCAAGUGUUAGUCCUAAAUGGCUACGCGGACGAUGUCAAUGUUGACUUUCUUAAUGAGCCGCCUCCUCCGUACACUCCUUGAAACUUUUAUUGUCAAUUACGUGUUUGGUCACCAUAGUAUCCGCUUAGAAUUCUCUCCCAUUUUCCAUAUGUCUUGUAAUUUAUCCUCGUUUUCUUUUCCUCACUAGGUGGUGCAUGUGUGCAUCCUUACAUAUGUAAAUACA